GAACACGGGGUAUGUUUUAACCAAAAUAAUGAUUACGUAUGUGUAUGUGAUUCGGGAUAUGAAGGGAAAAAUUGCAACAUGUUUUUUCCCACUGAUUGUUACGAUAUCCUGAACAUGAACCUUGGAAACACCUCCGGUGUGUAUGGAAUACAUCUAUGGAGAACACACCAGUAUUUGGAAGUGUUUUGUGAGAUGGAUAUUGACGGCGGUGGUUGGACAGUCUUUCAACAUAGAUUCGACGGAUCAGAAAAUUUUAACCAGAGCUUUGGCAGUUACACGAAAGGGUUUGGGAAUGCGUCCGGAGAAUAUUGGUUAGGUUUGGAAAACAUUUAUGAACUGGCAAACUGAACAUCUGACAUGCGGAUUGAAUUAACACAAAAACAUGGAAAUGAAACGUACCAAGUAUACCACGAGUUCAGUCUCAAAGCUGCACCAGAUUACGCCUUUAUAUAUUCAAAUUCAAGCGGAACAGCUGGGAACGGUUUAGACUAUUCUUACCCAUUUAGCACAUAUGACAACGAACAAGACAUUCAUUCCACAUUGAAUUGUGCUGAACGAUAUGGCAGCGGUUGGUGGUACGAGGCCUGCAGAGGUGUUGACCCAAAUGCACCA
rnacentral:lncRNA from 1 species